ensembl:lncRNA
CAGUAACCACAACAUCACUACAGCACCACUACGACCAGUAACCACAACAUCACUACAACCAGUAACCACGACACCACUACGACCAGUCACUACAACAUCACUACGACCAGUCACGACAACAUCAAUACGACCAGUCACUACAACACCACUACGACAAGUAACCACAACAUCACUACAGUCACUACAACAUCACUACGACCAGUCACGACAACAUCACUACGACCAGUCACGACAACAUCACUUACGACCAGUCACUACAACAUCACUACAACAUCACUACGACAUCACUACGACCAGUCACCACAACAUCACUACACCCAGUCACCACAACAUCACUACGACCAGUCACUACAAGAUCACUACGACCAGUCACUACAAGAUCACUACGACAUCACUACACCCAGUCAUUACAAGAUCACUACGACCAGUCACCACAACUUCACUACGACCAGUCACCACAACAUCACUACACCCAGUCAUUACAAGAUCACGACGACCAGUCACUACAACAUCACUACGACCAGUCACUACGACCAGUCACCACAACAUCACUACACCCAGUCAUUACAAGAUCACUACGACCAAUCACUACAACAUCACUACGACCAGUCACUACGACCAGUCACCACAACAUCACUACACCCAGUCAUUACAAGAUCACUACGACCAGUCACUACAACAUCACUGCAACCAGUCAUUACAACUUCACGACACCCAGGCAAUACAACAUCACCACAACCAGUCACUACAACAUCACUACGACCAGUAACCACAACAUCACUACGACCAGUCAC